CUCUCUCUCUCUCUCUCUCUCUCUCUCUCUCUCUCUCUCUCUCUCUCUCUCUCUCUCUCUCUCUCUCUCUCGCUCUCAGAUGACAGCCUGUUGAAUCAUGGCUCAGUUCAGUAGUUGAACAAGUGCAACAACAACGACAUUGGUCCAGAAUCUAUCCAGCAGCGGUCUUUGGAAGUAAAAGGCUGGACUGAUAGAGCGAACAGACUCCCGGCUGGCUUCAGGUUUUGACUGCAGCUCCUUUAAAAGACAGAUGCCUCAUUGUUCCUCAGUGAUUUGGUCGGUGUGCUUAAUUAAAGCUAAAUUGCAAAGGAAUGACCCUGUAGCUUUGGACCACAGACCCCAUGCAGCUGGCAGCAGAGAGAGGACAUAGGGGCCUAAGAAGGGAGGCCUACUCUUAACAUCACCCAUCCAGCAGGAUACUCACUGUAAACAAUGGCUAACCCCACCCCCAAUCUCCAGCUUCAGCCAGGUUUCUCCCAGUCCUUCAGCUGAGCGGUCUGGUGGGGCUUGAUCAAUGGCAGGAAACCAGCAGAUCAAAUGGUGAUUCAUCUGAAAGCGAUAGGCCAGUAUCUACACAAACAUACCUCUGAGACCUCUGUGGCUUUACCUCCAUGUGAUGUUGGGGUUGUGUGUAAUCUUCUCCCCCAAGGAACACAGUAACCCUGAGGGUAGAUGAAUACAGUACACAGUCCUACGGGGUUGUUUAAUAUGCUCAAUAUGCUUAUUACUCACUCACUCUCCACCAGCGGUAUGCAAAUAUAAAACAUAUUGCCUUGGGUCUCUGUGGAGAACCUCACUACUCGCUCAGACUCACCAUAGGCCUUUAUCUGUAAUUAAACACACUAACUUCGUCUCUGGGGUCAUUGAUAUUGAUAUUUUUUUUAUCAUGAAUAAACAACUUGCUGUAAGGGAUUGCACUGCUGUUUCCUUUUGGCGGCUGUUUGUCUGUAAUUCUGAAAUUGUUUAAAUAACUUGAUUAUAUUAUGUAUCUUCAAUAAAUGUUAUGAGCUGA